CGUCAUUUCAGUAAAAAUUGUCACUUUUAUUGACCUUAUUUCAUGAUUUCAUAUGUGGCGCCACCCCUAGCCCAUUGAAAUUUUGAUUGUAAAGUAACGAACAGGAUAUAUAAAGAACAUUUCAUCAAUCAUAUGUAUGGGCGUAGGGUGGCAUCACUGCUAAUUUAAAAGAAAACUAAUUAAUUUUUAGGAUUUUUAGGGUCAAAAUUAAGAGUUAGUGAACCAACUCUUUUGUGAAAUAUAUUUGUUCUUGUUUAUAGCAUAAAAGUUGAUAAUCAUGUAUUUUUUGUAAUGUGUCUUAAAAAAAACUAUCUUGAAUGAAAAUUAAACUUGAAAAAAUAACAAUUGAUCCAUAAAGAGAUUGUGAUUGAAUCAAACUUCUUUACUGUACUCAUUUUUAGCUCACCUGGCCCAAAGGGCCAAGUGAGCUUUUCCCAUCACUUGGCGUCCGUCGUUUUUUGGUUAUUAUCUUGAAUAUUAUUAUAGAUAGAGAUAAACUGUAAACAGCAAUAAUGUUCAGCAAAGUAAGAUCUACAAAUAAGUCAACAUGAUACCUUUUACAAAAAUCUUCUCCUCUGAAACUACUUGGCCAAAUUUAA
rnacentral:lncRNA from 1 species